GCUGUUAGCAGCUUAUACUGCUCCAGCUGUGCUAGCCAGGGUUAGCAGCAGGCUACAGUCUGUUAUACUCACCUCUGAAAAGAAAAAAGAGCUAGUGCUUAGCACGGUUAGCAGGUAAUGCUAAUGCUGCUCCAGCAGUGCUUCCCUGGGUUAGCAGCAGGCUACAGUCUGUUAUACUCACCUCUGAAAAGAAAGAAGAGCUAGUGCUUAGCACGGUUAGCAGGUAAUGCUAAUGCUGCUCCAGCAGUGCUUCCCUGGGUUAGCAGCAGGCUACAGUCUGUUAUACUCACCUCUGAAAAGAAAAAAGAGCUAGUGCUUAGCACGGUUAGCAGGUAAUUCUAAUGCUGCUCCAGCAGUGCUAGCCUAGGUUAGCAGUAGGCUACAGUCCCAUAAUAUUCACCUGUGCAUAGCAAAAAAGCUAGCACUUAGUGCAUUAAGCAGCUAAUGCUGCUCCAACAGCAUUAGCCAAGUGUUAGCAGCAGUUUACAGGCUGCUAAUACUCAACGUUAAACAGAAAAAAGAGCUAGUGCUUAGCACGGUUAGAGGCUAAUGUUAAUGCUGCUCCAGCAGUGCUAGCCGGGGUUAGCAGCAGGCUACAGGUUGAUAAUACUCACUUCUAAACGGCAAAAAAGCUAGUGCUUAGCAUGGUUAAAGACUAAUGCUAAUGCUGCUCCAGCAGUACUAGCCUUGGUUUAGUAGAUGCCUACAGUCUGUUAUACUCACCUCUGAACAGAAAAAAAGAGCUAGCGCUUAGUGCAGUUAGCGGCUAAUGCUAAUACUGCUGGAGAAUUGAACUGAAACUCCUGUAUAACGCUGUACUUCAGGGGAGUGGCUUUACUGCUCCUUAAUACCUGACUGGUAGAAUUAAUAUACAUAAAGCGUACUGAUAUUUUUUUGGGAAAAUUAAAGGAUUUUUACUGCGCCUUAUAGUGCAAAAAUACAGUAUUCCUUAUGUCACAAACUUAAAAGAAAAUCAAAAAUUGUGGUCACGCAAUUGGAAAAAUGUCCCCAAUAUUUUUUUAUUAUUUAAAUUAUUUAAAAUUCAAUAGAAGGCAGCUACAUUUUUCUUUUUUUUUUUUCUUUUUUUCAGAAGUAUCCUUCACAUUGUUUUAAGGUUCUGUAUCACGAUGCACUGGAUUCACUCAUGCUUAUCACUUAUACAAUUCUUUUUUUUUUUUUUUUUUUGGUCUGUUUUGCUGUUCCUUCCAGAAGAAGACGUCUCCAGUGAGAAAACAGGGCAAACCGAUUUUUUUUUUUUUUUUUCAUGAUUUAUUUUAUUUGAUUGUUAAUAUUCAAGCCAAAUGUUUUCACCACUCGCGCUCCGAUGCUCCCGAUGCAUUGUGGUCUUUGUAGUUUGCUGAGAGUCCGAUAUAAAAAUAUGGUUGGUCAGAAGUGAAGAGCCGGUUUGACUCACGAAACGGCCUUCGAGCAGGAGAAACCUUCCCGACAGCUUGCUGUGGAGAGACUUUUAUUAUAUAUAUUUUUUGUUUCCUGUGUCUUGUAAUGCCUUGUAACAAACACUCCUGUCUCCGAGAGUAGAGCUAUUAUAAAGAUAUGCAUGCGGACAAUGUAAGACUUUCAUUUUGCUUCUUUAACUUUUUUUUUCCCCCAUAUGUAUUGUUUGGACCCCACUUCUUUAUACGACCUCCAGACUCAGACUUAGGCUAGAAAAAUGCUUGCUGUUUGGCUAUGCGUUCACAUUUUUUUUUUUCACGUAACAUUUCACGUAACUUUUAGCGUACUUACGUAUGUGAUAUGUGUGUUUCUGCAGGCGUCCACAAAUUAUUUGUUAUAGAGAUGCGGCUAGCUCUUCGUCAAAACUACAGUUUGUAAAGUUUGUAAUUUUAAUGUUGCUGAGUGCUGCACUGCCCCCUAGAAUUUUUGCAGGCAAUGCACCUUGCAUACAGUGUGAGCUGCAUCGUGAACAGGUUUUUUUCUUGGCCUAAAGAUAUGCUUGUUUUUCGUUCAUACACUUGCAUCGAAGACGACCGUGUUGCUAACGUAACUUUCCGUAUUAUUUUUCAUCUUUAUGCGUAACUGUUUACGUACUUGCGUAUGUGAUGCGUGUGCUACCGGAGACUUCCACAAGAGGCCUCCACUUGCCGUAGCAACAACGACGUACAACAUACAGAUGCGGGUAGCUGUUCAUCAAAUCAGUUCAGAAUUUUAACGUUGCUGAGUGCUGCACUGCCCCCUAGCAUUUUUGCAGGUACUGCACCUUGCAUACAGCAUAAGCUGUAUAUAGUAUAAUUUAUUGCUGGGCGGUAUGACCAAAAAUGUAUAUCACUGUAUUUUUCAAGAUUCUGACUGUUUCACAGUAUGUCAUGGUAUAAUUAUUAUUAUUAUUAUUAUUAUUAUUAUUUAUUUAUUUAUAUAUAUAUAUAUUGUUUUUUGCAUGACUGGGCUUUUAUACAGGUCUGUGACUUACUCAAGUCUUUAAAUUAAGGCUUUAAUUAGUAUCGGUUUUAUUUUGUCCCACAAAAUUACACAAUAUAUGAAGAAAUCAGACUUUACUAUCAGAAAAAAACAGCUAAAGAAUGUAAACAACAGACCUUAAAAA